CGCGUAGGCGGUUUGUACAGUCAGAAGUGAAAUUCCUGGGCUCAACCUGGGGACUGCUUUUGAUACGUGCAGACUUGAGUGAGGAAGAGGGUUGUGGAAUUUCCAGUGUAGAGGUGAAAUUCGUAGAUAUUGGAAAGAACACCGGUGGCGAAGGCGGCAACCUGGUCCUUUACUGACGCUGAGGCGCGAAAGCGUGGGGAGCAAACAGGAUUAGAUACCCUGGUAGUCCACGCUGUAAACGAUGUGUGCUGGAUGUUGGGGAACUUAGUUUCUCAGUGUCGUAGCUAACGCGAUAAGCACACCGCCUGGGGAGUACGGCCGCAAGGUUGAA
rnacentral:rRNA from 1 species